UUUGAAUGGAUACUUCUGCUCUCGACAUGGAUAACAAGAUUCCAUCAGAUGAACUGGGAGAAUUGAGGUGCAGCGAUUUAGACGUUCCCCUGUUCACACCAAAUGACUUCGACCCAAUUAUCAAUUUACAUUUACUGGAUAUGACAGUUGAGCAGUGGAUGUUAUUGGCAGCUGGACAGGUAGACACUGCCUUGGCCGAUCUGCUAUCUCAAAUGUGUCAUGAGAUGGUAGAUGCGGUCAGUGUCGUAUUCCUGGAAGAAGUGAGACCCCAGGUUCUUAACUGGAUUACCCUGAAA